UACGUAGGGCGCAAGCGUUAUCCGGAAUUAUUGGGCGUAAAGAGCUCGUAGGCGGUUUGUCGCGUCUGCCGUGAAAGUCCGGGGCUCAACUCCGGAUCUGCGGUGGGUACGGGCAGACUAGAGUGCAGUAGGGGAGACUGGAAUUCCUGGUGUAGCGGUGAAAUGCGCAGAUAUCAGGAGGAACACCGGUGGUGUAGACGGCUCUCUGGACCGUAACUGACGCUGAGGCACGAAAGCGUGGGUAGCAAACAGG
rnacentral:rRNA from 1 species